GCCGCCUUAGCUCAGGGGUAGAGCAACGCACUCGUAAUGCGUAGGUCCCGGGUUCAAAUCCCGGAGGCGGCCCCA
rnacentral:tRNA from 4 species